rnacentral:rRNA from 1 species
AUAAUGGCCGAAAAUCUAAGGUUUCUUGGGGAAGGUUCGUCCGCCCAAGGUAAGCCGGGAGCUAAGGCGAGGCCGCAAGGCGUAGUCGAUGCACAUACGGUAGAAAUUCCGUAGCCACCGAACCUUAAACCGGAAGGACACUUUCAGAUAGCAGAACCCAGCCGUUGGUAGAGCUGGGCGAAAGGGACUGAAAUAUAGUAGGGAAGUCUGCGAUGCUGAGAGGCGAGAAAAGCUCCGGUGUAUGCUAAGGUGCCCGUACCGCAAACCGACACAGGUAGAUGAGGAGAGAAUCCUAAGGCCAACGGGAGAAGGGUUGUUAAGGAACUCGGCAAAUUGACCCCGUAACUUCGGAAGAAGGGGAGCCCCGAAAGGGGCCGCAGUGAAUAGGCCCAAGCAACUGUUUACCAAAAACACAGGUUUAUGCUAAAUCGAAAGAUGACGUAUAUGAGCUGACGCCUGCCCGGUGCCGGAAGGUUAAGAGGAGAUGUCAGGAGCAAUCCGAAGCAUUGAAUUGAAGCCCCGGUAAACGGCGGCCGUAACUAUAACGGUCCUAAGGUAGCGAAAUUCCUUGUCAGGUAAGUUCUGACCCGCACGAAUGGCGUAAUGAUUUGGGCACUGUCUCAACAGCCCGCCCGGCGAAAUUGUAGUACUGGUGAAGAUGCCAGUUACCCGCAACUAGACGGAAAGACCCCAUGGAGCUUUACUGCAGCUUAAUACUGAAAUUCGGUAGUACAUGUACAGGAUAGGUGGGAGACUGAGAAAUACAGGCGUCAGCUUGUAUGGAGUCGCUGUUGGGAUACCACUCUUGUACUGCUGGGUUUCUAACCUGCGGCCGUGAAUCCGGUCGGGGGACACUGUUAGGCGGGCAGUUUGACUGGGGCGGUCGCCUCCAAAAGAGUAACGGAGGCGCUCAAAGGUUCGUUCAGCACGGACGGAAAUCGUGCAUUGAGUGUAAACGCAUAAACGAGCCUAACUGCGAGACCGACGGGUCGAGCAGUAACGAAAGUUGGAGUUAGUGAUCCGGUGGUAUGUGAGUGGAAAUGCCAUCGCUCAACGGAUAAAAGCUACCCUGGGGAUAACAGGCUGAUCUCCCCCAAGCGUCCACAGCGACGGGGAGGUUUGGCACCUCGAUGUCGGCUCGUCGCAUCCUGGGGCUGAAUUCGGUCCCAAGGGUUUGGCUGUUCGCCAAUUAAAGC